ACACUCCUGCGGGAGGCAGCAGUGGGGAAUAUUGGACAAUGGGCGCAAGCCUGAUCCAGCCAUGCCGCGUGAGUGAUGAAGGCCCUAGGGUUGUAAAGCUCUUUCACCGGUGAAGAUAAUGACGGUAACCGGAGAAGAAGCCCCGGCUAACUUCGUGCCAGCAGCCGCGGUAAUACGAAGGGGGCUAGCGUUGUUCGGAUUUACUGGGCGUAAAGCGCACGUAGGCGGACUAUUAAGUCAGGGGUGAAAUCCCGGGGCUCAACCCCGGAACUGCCUUUGAUACUGGUAGUCUUGAGUUCGAGAGAGGUGAGUGGAAUUCCGAGUGUAGAGGUGAAAUUCGUAGAUAUUCGGAGGAACACCAGUGGCGAAGGCGGCUCACUGGCUCGAUACUGACGCUGAGGUGUGAAAGCGUGGGGAGCAAACAGGAUUAGAUACCCGUGUAGUCCCA
rnacentral:rRNA from 1 species